ACAUUGAACUGAUAAUAACAAUUUUAAUAAUUUUAUUAAGAUGAUGUUGAAGUAAAAAGAAAACGGUACAGAGUUUAAGCAUAGACGUUUCUGGUUAUCAAGGAAUAAGAUACAGAUUAUCAAGGGGUGUGAAAUUUGGUUUAGGAACAGGUGGUGUAAGGAAUACAUAAUCUGCAAUCUCCCCGAUUGGGGGUAAAAGUUUAACGGGUCAAAGUACAGACAUUGAGAUAUGGG